UACAACUUUCAGCGGUGGAUGUCUAGGUUCCCACAACGAUGAAGAACGCUAGCGAAAUGCGAUACGUAAUGCGAAUGGCAAGACCUCGUGAAUCAUUAAGAUUUUGAACGCACAUUGCGCUUUCGGGAUUUUCCCGGUAGCAUGCUUGUCUGAGUGUCUGUG
rnacentral:rRNA from 1 species